rnacentral:rRNA from 1 species
CUACGGGGUGCAGCAGUGAGGAAUAUUGGUCAAUGGGCGCAAGCCUGAACCAGCCAUCCCGCGUGGAGGAAGACGGCCCUAUGGGUUGUAAACUCCUUUUAUAAGGGAAGAAUAUACGUAUCGUGAUAUGUUUUGACGGUACCUUAUGAAUAAGCAUCGGCUAACUCCGUGCCAGCAGCCGCGGUAAUACGGAGGAUGCGAGCGUUAUCCGGAUUCAUUGGGUUUAAAGGGUGCGCAGGCGGACCAAUAAGUCAGUGGUGAAAUCUUACGGCUCAACCGUGAAACUGCCAUUGAUACUGUUAGUCUUGAGUACGGCUGAGGUAGGCGGAAUGUGUAAUGUAGCGGUGAAAUGCUUAGAUAUUACACAGAACACCAAUUGCGUAGGCAGCUUACUAGACCGUAACUGACGCUGAGGCACGAAAGCGUGGGUAGCGAACAGGAUUAGAUACCCGCGUAGUC